rnacentral:rRNA from 1 species
UACAGAGGGUGCGAGCGUUAAUCGGAAUUACUGGGCGUAAAACGUGCGUAGGCGGUCGGGUAAGUCGGGUGUGAAAGCCCCGGGCUCAACCUGGGAAUUGCAUUCGAGACUGCACGGCUGGAGUGCGGAAGAGGGAAGCGGAAUUUCCGGUGUAGCGGUGAAAUGCGUAGAUAUCGGAAGGAACAUCAGUGGCGAAAGCGGCUUCCUGGUCCAGCACUGAUGCUCAGGCACGAAAGCGUGGGGAGCAAAUAGG